CAACCCCUCAAGCACAGCUUGGUCAUGGGCCGUCGCCUCCAGUCUACUGAAGGCGUGCCCCAAAACAGUCGGCAGGACCACGCGGACCGCCGGGCGUAGCAGAUUGUAACGUCCGUGGCGACCGCGCUCCCAGCCGUAAAGCCCUGAGGUCUCACGACUUCUACUCCAAA
rnacentral:misc_RNA from 1 species